rnacentral:tRNA from 1 species
ACUUGAAUAGCUUAUAUAGAGCUUGACAUUGAAGAUGUUAUUGAGAUUUUUGAUCUUUAAGUA